GAUUUCCUUCGGGGUCGGGUGUAAUUCCCAACCGACGGUGAUGAGGCAUGCCUCUUAGCCCGUGACCCGGAUUCAUAGAUCAUAUGAAAACGGUGGAUUUGGUGAAAUUCCAAAGCCGACAGUAAAAGUCUGGAUGGGAGAAGGAAAAA
rnacentral:ncRNA from 2 species